AUUGAACGCUGGCGGCAUGCCUUACACAUGCAAGUCGAACGGUAACAGGUCAAGCUGACGAGUGGCGAACGGGUGAGUAAUAUAUCGGAACGUGCCCAGUAGUGGGGGAUAGCCCGGCGAAAGCCGGAUUAAUACCGCAUACGACCUACGGGUGAAAGCGGGGGAUCGCAAGACCUCGCGCUAUUGGAGCGGCCGAUAUCAGAUUAGCUAGUUGGUGGGGUAAAAGCUCACCAAGGCGACGAUCUGUAGCUGGUCUGAGAGGACGACCAGCCACACUGGGACUGAGACACGGCCCAGACUCCUACGGGAGGCAGCAGUGGGGAAUUUUUGGACAAUGGACGCAAGUCUGAUCCAGCCAUGCCGCGUGCGGGAAGAAGGCCU
rnacentral:rRNA from 1 species